rnacentral:rRNA from 1 species
AGCCAUGCGAGUCAACGUAGCAAUACGUGGCACACGGCUCAGUAACACGUAGUCAACAUAACCAAAGGACGUGGAUAAACUCGGGAAACUGAGGCUAAACCGCGAUAGACCAAGAUACCUGGAAUGGUUUUUGAUUGAAAUCUAUAUGGCCUUUGGAUUGGACUGCGUCCGAUCAGGCUGUUGGUGAGGUAAUGGCCCACCAAACCUAUAACCGGUACGGGCUCUGAGAGGAGGAGCCCGGAGAUGGGUACUGAGACAAGGACCCAGGCCCUAUGGGGCGCAGCAGGCGCGAAACCUCUGCAAUAGGCGAAAGCCUGACAGGGUUACUCUGAGUGACUUUCGCUAAGAAAGUCUUUUGACACCUCUAAAAAUGGUGUAGAAUAAGGGGUGGGCAAGUCUGGUGUCAGCCGCCGCGGUAAUACCAGCACCCCGAGUGGUCGGGACGAUUAUUGGGCCUAAAGCAUCCGUAGCCGGCCUUACAAGUCCCCCGUUAAAUCCAACUGCUUAACAGAUGGGCUGCGGAGGAUACUAUAAGACUAGGAGGCAGGAGAGGCAAGCGGUACUCAGU